rfam:Capsicum annuum cultivar Zunla-1 unplaced genomic scaffold scaffold258, whole genome shotgun sequence
AUACCUUUCUCGGCUUUUUGGCUAAGAUCAAGUGUAGUAUCUGUUCUUAUCAUUUUAAUAUCUGAUAUGUGGACCAUUGGACCACAUGAUACUAACUCUAUUUUUAGAGGGGGAAGGGUCAUCAAGGUAGCUUGCUAUGUGGGCCUUCGCACGUCGCCUAAGCGCUGCACUACUGGUUUGGCCAGGUGCACCCCAC